rnacentral:rRNA from 1 species
UACGGGGGGGGCAAGCGUUGUUCGGAAUUACUGGGCGUAAAGAGCGUGUAGGCGGCCAGACAGGUCAGCUGUGAAAACUCGAGGCUCAACCUCGAGACGUCGGUUGAAACCGUCUGGCUAGAGUCCGGAAGAGGAGAGUGGAAUUCCCGGUGUAGCGGUGAAAUGCGCAGAUAUCGGGAAGAACACCCGUGGCGAAGGCGGCUCUCUGGGCCGAUACUGACGCUGAGGAGCGAAAGCGUGGGGAGCGAACAGG